AAAUGAAUAGACGGGGGCCCGCACAAGCGGCGGAGCAUGCGGAUUAAUUCGAUGCAACGCGAAGAACCUUACCUGGGUUUGACAUAUGCCGGAAGCAUUCAGAGAUGGGUGUGCCUUUUUGGUCGGUUUACAGGUGGUGCAUGGCUGUCGUCAGCUCGUGUCGUGAGAUGUUGGGUUAAGUCCCGCAACGAGCGCAACCCUUGUCCUAUGUUGCCAGCACGUUAUGGUGGGAACUCAUGGGAGACUGCCGGGGUCAACUCGGAGGAAGGUGGGGAUGACGUCAAGUCAUCAUGCCCCUUAUGUCCAGGGCUUCACGCAUGCUACAAUGGCUGGUACAGAGGGUUGCGAGCCUGUGAGGGUGAGCGAAUCCCUUAAAGCCAGUCUCAGUUCGGAUUGGGGUCUGCAACUCGACCUCAUGAAGUCGGAGUCGCUAGUAAUCGCAGAUCAGCAUUGCUGCGGUGAAUACGUUCCCGGGCCUUGUACACACCGCCCGU
rnacentral:rRNA from 1 species